rnacentral:rRNA from 1 species
UACCGACUUUCAUGACUUGACGGGCGGUGUGUACAAGGCCCGGGAACGUAUUCACCGCAGCGUUGCUGAUCUGCGAUUACUAGCGACUCCGACUUCAUGAGGUCGAGUUGCAGACCUCAAUCCGAACUGAGACCGGCUUUUUGGGAUUCGCUCCACCUUACGGUAUCGCAGCCCUUUGUACCGGCCAUUGUAGCAUGCGUGAAGCCCAAGACAUAAGGGGCAUGAUGAUUUGACGUCAUCCCCCACCUUCCUCCGAGUUGACCCCGGCAGUCUCCUAUGAGUCCCCGCCAUAACGCGCUGGCAACAUAGAACGAGGGUUGCGCUCGUUGCGGGACUUAACCCAACAUCUCACGACACGAGCUGACGACAACCAUGCACCACCUGUACACCGACCACAAGGGGGCAACCAUCUCUGGCCGUUUCCGGUGUAUGUCAAGCCUUGGUAAGGUUCUUCGCGUUGCAUCGAAUUAAUCCGCAUGCUCCGCCGCUUGUGCGGGCCCCCGUCAAUUCCUUUGAGUUUUAGCCUUGCGGCCGUACUCCCCAGGCGGGGCGCUUAAUGCGUUAGCUACGACACAGAAACCGUGGAAAGGUCCCUACAUCUAGCGCCCAACGUUUACGGCGUGGACUACCAGGGUAUCUAAUCCUGUUCGCUCCGCGCAGCGCUUUCGCUCCUCAGCGUCAGUUACGGCCCAGAGAUCUGCCUUCGCCAUCGGUGUUCCUCCUGAUAUCUGCGCAUUCCACCGCUACACCAGGAAUUCCAAUCUCCCCUACCGCACUCUAGUCUGCCCGUACCCACUGCAAGCCCGAGGUUGAGCCUCGGGAUUUCACAGCAGACGCGACAAACCGCCUACGAGCUCUUUACGCCCAAUAAUAUCCGGACAAGCGCUUGCACCCUACGUAUUACCGCGGCUGCUGGCACGUAGUUAGCCGGUGCUUUUUCUGCAGGUACCGUCACUUACGCUUCUUCCCUACUAAAAGAGGUUUACAACCCGAAGGCCGUCAUCCCUCACGCGGCGUUGCUGCAUCAGGCUUUCGCCCAUUGUGCAAUAUUCCCCACUGCUGCCUCCCGUAGGAGUCUGGGCCGUGUCUCAGUCCCAGUGUGGCCGGUCACCCUCUCAGGCCGGCUACCCGUCGUCGCCUUGGUGAGCCAUUACCUCACCAACAAGCUGAUAGGCCGCGAGUCCAUCCCCAACCAAAAAAUCUUUCCACCACCAGACCAUGCGGCCGGCAGUCAUAUCCAGUAUUAGACGUCGUUUCCAACGCUUAUCCCAGAGUCAGGGGCAGGUUACUCACGUGUUACUCACCCGUUCGCCACUAAUCCACCCAGCAAGCUGGGCAUCAUCGUUCGACUUGCAUGUGUUAAGCACGCCGCCAGCGUUCGUCCUGAGCCAUGA